rnacentral:rRNA from 1 species
AGUGAACGCUGGCGGUAGGCCUAACACAUGCCAGUCGAACGGCAGCACAGUAAGAGCUUGCUCUUACGGGUGGCGAGUGGCGGACGGGUGAGGAAUACAUCGGAAUCUACUUUUUCGUGGGGGAUAACGUAGGUAAACUUACGCUAAUACAGCAUACGACCUACGGGUGAAAGCAGGGGAUCUUCGGACCUUGCGCGAUUGAAUGAGCCGAUGUCGGAUUAGCUAGUUGGCGGGGUAAAGGCCCACCAAGGCGACGAUCCGUAGCUGGUCUGAGAGGAUGAUCAGCCACACUGGAACUGAGACACGGUCCAGACUCCUACGGGAGGCAGCAGUGGGGAAUAUUGGACAAUGGGCGCAAGCCUGAUCCAGCGAUACCGCGUGGGUGACGAAGGCCUUCGGGUUGUAAAGCCCUUUUGUUGGGAAAGAAAAGCAGCAGGUUAAUACCCCGCUGUUCUGACGGUACCCAAAGAAUAAGCACCGGCUAACUUCGUG